GUCACGAGCUGUGCGGGUGGAACUGCGCAUGCGUGUGUCUCAGCAAUGGCUGCGGUGGGUUGGGGGAACACAGACAACCAUGACAUCAUCUCGCUGAAGCUGUACCAGCUGACAGUGGAGCACACGCCAGAGGAGGAGAAGCAGGACUGAAAAGUGUUCCUGCCCGUUGUGGACAACCUGAAACUGCCAGGAAUGGAGGCACCCCUGGAGCCUAUGAGUGGCCUCGCCCUCUUCCUGAUCGUCGUCUUCUCGCUGGUGGCCAUCGUCUUUGCCAUCACCAUCGGCAUCAUCAUCUACAAGUGGCAGGAGCAGAGCUGCAAACACUUCUAUUGACUCGGAGAUUCCUGGCCUGGCCCAUCCCGGCCUUUUGCUGGCCACAUCCUGACUCCCAGGGUAUGAGGGACCAGCCCUCGUGGCAGGGACCCCCCAAAUCCCUGUGGGACUCUGGAUCUGGGUGGGGAUCCCUCGCCUUCUCUGCUGGAUUCCCUCGCUGGAGAGAGAGAGAAUUCCCAGCAUGUCCUUUUGUGUGGCCACCAGAGCCCCCCAUGGACAAGCCCCUGCGGGCUGGGAGGAGCUGGGUGCUGCUGGAUCUCCCAGAGGGAUGAAUUUUCCCGGCUGCAUGAGCCAGGUGCUGCCCCCUCCUCACUUUGCAGGUUCCCACUCCCCUUUUCCCAGCAUGUGGCUGCCCCUGCACGCC